rnacentral:rRNA from 1 species
UACGUAGGGUGCAAGCGUUGUCCGGAAUCAUUGGGCGUAAAGAGCUCGUAGGCGGCUUAGUAAGUCGGGUGUGAAAACCCCAGGCUCAACCUGGGGACGCCACCCGAUACUGCUAUAGCUAGAGUCCAGUAGGGGAGUGUGGAAUUCCCAGUGUAGCGGUGAAAUGCGCAGAUAUUGGGAGGAACACCAGCGGCGAAGGCGGCACUCUGGGCUGGUACUGACGCUGAGGAGCGAAAGCGUGGGUAGCGAACAGG